GCCUGACUCGUUCCCAGUCGCUCGCGUUGGAUCAUGGGAAUGGGUUAGGUUUCCGAGCGACUGGGAAAUCCUGUAUUCAAGAUGGCGUCCAUACAUAAUGGCGGACGCUAUAUCCAAGGAGCGAAAAACUUCUCGAAGGCGUUUCAUGGUGCAUAAAGUUGUCUAUCCAGUUAGAAUGUGUGGGAAAUGUGUUAUUUUUUUAAGAAAAUGGAUUACCGCAACAUUUUCGUGUGACUCAUAAGAAAAAUAUCACGCUGCAAGAUAUUAAUUUAAAAAUUCGACAUUGACAUUGAAACGCAUGUAUUGUAUGGCGAAGAAACGUUGUGAUAUAUUCAAUAUCAGCAUGAGAAAAAAUCAAAGGCGAGUUAAUAUCAUGAAUAAUUUCUUUUACAGUUGAGAAUGCUUGUUUAGCAAAUUUUUGCGUCCUUAAUAAUAUUUUUGUGCGGGGGAUAAAAAUCAUAAAAUAUGCACAUAUUUUAAUAUUUGUUGAUUUACAACUAUUAGGUAUUGAGUGGAUGUUGGUUCAAAGUUUCCAGGGAAGAUGUUAAUGUAUUUGCUGAAGAUGCAAGGAAAGCUUCCAAAAUUUACGGAGUAAUAAAUUCUUGGAAAUGCAGACCAAAAUAAUCUAUGCAAAAUAUCAGUUGGUAUACCAAACAAACAAUGGAUGCAACACAUGGAAACAUUGAAGGGAACAUUAUUGUGGUUGAAUGCUCUUUUACAAAGAUAAACUUAAAUUGAGACAUAAAUAUGAACCUAGAAUAGCUCAAAUUUGUUACAGCUUGCCCCCCCCCCUGAAUAUAACCCCCACUCAUUGUCUUUAUUUGUUAUUAAUACAUGUUUAUUUUCCUGUUUAUGACUGACUUGUUUAUUAUAUACUAACACAAGACUGAAAAGAGCACCCAUGUACUGUAUAAGCCCAUCAAAAAUUGCUUAAAAAGAAUAUAAGCCAAGGGCUUAUAGUCAGAGGUUAUUCUUGGUAUUCUUGACUUGCAACCAACCCUUGAGAGUUAGAAGACAAUUAACAGCUGCCAUUUUGGUGCCAAAUUCAAUGAAAGAUAACGAGAUCCUUUUGAAAAAAUGGCACCAACAUGAUUCAGCCCACAUAGCUACAAGUCAAGAAUAGCACUCUCCUUCUUUUUCAGUACAUUUCUCUG